UACGAAGGGGGCUAGCGUUGCUCGGAAUUAUUGGGCGUAAAGGGUAGGUAGGUGGUCUCAUUUGUCUGGGGUGAAAGCCUUCGAGCUUAACUCAAGAAGUGCCCCAGAAACGGUGAGACUGGAGUCCUGGAGAGGGUCGUGGAAUUCCCGGGUGUAGGCGGUGAAAUGCGUAGAGAAUCGGGAGGAACACCAGAGGCGAAAGCGGCGACCUGGACAGG
rnacentral:rRNA from 1 species